rnacentral:lncRNA from 1 species
ACACCUUUUCCCCAGCACUUGGCAUAUCCUAUCUUGGAUCAGGUUUGGCUCCUCGGUUGACUGAGCGCUCCCUGAGAGCAGGAACUGGGCCUCCUCCGCCUCUCUAACCCAACCACCCAGCAGGGAGCCUGGCACACAGUGGGUGCUGGAGAAAUGCUGGAAGAAGGGGAACGCGGAGUCGGGAGCCAUCUAUCUCAAUUACGGCUGGGCCUCUGGGAAUAACACUGGAUUAAAAGGCAGUUCAAGGGGCCGGCCCCGUGGCCGAGAGAUUAAGUUCACGCACUCCACUUCGGCAGCCCAGAGUUUCGCCGGUUUGGAUCCUGGGUGUGGACAUGGCACCGCUCAUCAAGCCAUGCUGAGGGGGCACCCCGCAUGCCACAACUAGAAGGACCCACAACUAAAAAUACACAACUAUGUACCGGGGGAUUUUGGGAGAAAAAUGAAAAAUAAAAUAAAAUAAAAUAAAGACA